rnacentral:rRNA from 1 species
GUGGCGAACGGGUGAGUAACACGUGAGUAACCUGCCCCUGAUUUCGGGAUAAGCCUGGGAAACCGGGUCUAAUACCGGAUACGACCAUCCCUCGCAUGAGGGUUGGUGGAAAGUUUUUCGAUCGGGGAUGGGCUCGCGGCCUAUCAGCUUGUUGGUGGGGUAAUGGCCCACCAAGGCGACGACGGGUAGCCGGCCUGAGAGGGCGACCGGCCACACUGGGACUGAGACACGGCCCAGACUCCUACGGGAGGCAGCAGUGGGGAAUAUUGCACAAUGGGGGAAACCCUGAUGCAGCGACGCAGCGUGCGGGAUGACGGCCUUCGGGUUGUAAACCGCUUUCAGCAGGGAAGAAGCGAAAGUGACGGUACCUGCAGAAGAAGUACCGGCUAACUACGUGCCAGCAGCCGCGGUAAUACGUAGGGUACGAGCGUUGUCCGGAAUUAUUGGGCGUAAAGAGCUCGUAGGUGGUUGGUCACGUCUGCUGUGGAAACGCAACGCUUAACGUUGCGCGUGCAGUGGGUACGGGCUGACUAGAGUGCAGUAGGGGAGUCUGGAAUUCCUGGUGUAGCGGUGAAAUGCGCAGAUAUCAGGAGGAACACCGGUGGCGAAGGCGGGACUCUGGGCUGUAACUGACACUGAGGAGCGAAAGCAUGGGGAGCGAACAGGAUUAGAUACCCUGGUAGUCCAUGCCGUAAACGUUGGGCACUAGGUGUGGGG